rnacentral:rRNA from 1 species
GUGGGGAAUAUUGGACAAUGGGCGCAAGCCUGAUCCAGCCAUGCCGCGUGAGUGAUGAAGGCCCUAGGGUUGUAAAGCUCUUUCACCGGUGAAGAUAAUGACGGUAACCGGAGAAGAAGCCCCGGCUAACUUCGUGCCAGCAGCCGCGGUAAUACGAAGGGGACUAGCGUUGUUCGGAAUUACUGGGCGUAAAGCGCACGUAGGCGGGUAUGUAAGUCAGGUGUGAAAUCCCGGAGCUCAAAUCCGGAAAUGCCUUUGAUACUGGGUACCUAGAGUAUGGAAGAGGUAAGUGGAAUUCCGAGUGUAGAGGUGAAAUUCGUAGAUAUUCGGAGGAACACCAGUGGCGAAGGCGGCUUACUGGUCCAUUACUGACGCUGAGGUGCGAAAGCGUGGGGAGCAAACAGGAUUAGAAACCCGAGUAGUCC